UACGUAGGGGGCAAGCGUUGUCCGGAAUUAUUGGGCGUAAAGAGCGCGUAGGCGGUCCGAUAAGUCGGCUGUGAAAGUCAAGGGCUCAACCCUUGAAAGCCGGCCGAUACUGUCGGACUAGAGUCCGGAAGAGGCGAGUGGAAUUCCUGGUGUAGCGGUGAAAUGCGCAGAUAUCAGGAGGAACACCAAUAGCGAAGGCAGCUCGCUGGGACGGUACUGACGCUAAGGCGCGAAAGCGUGGGGAGCGAACAGG
rnacentral:rRNA from 1 species